GAUUUACUUCGGUAAUGACGUUAGGAAAGCGAGCGGCGGAUGGGUGAGUAACACGUGGGGAACCUGCCCCAUAGUCUAGGAUACCACUUGGAAACAGGUGCCAAUACCGGAUAAGAAAGCAGAUCGCAUGAUCAGCUUUUAAAAGGCGGCGUAAGCUGUCGCUAUGGGAUGGCCCCGCGGUGCAUUAGCUAGUUGGUAAGGUAAAGGCUUACCAAGGCGAUGAUGCAUAGCCGAGUUGAGAGACUGAUCGGCCACAUUGGGACUGAGACACGGCCCAAACUCCUACGGGAGGCAGCAGUAGGGAAUCUUCCACAAUGGACGCAAGUCUGAUGGAGCAACGCCGCGUGAGUGAAGAAGGUUUUCGGAUCGUAAAGCUCUGUUGUUGGUGAAGAAGGAUAGAGGUAGUAACUGGCCUUUAUUUGACGGUAAUCAACCAGAAAGUCACGGCUAACUACGUGCCAGCAGCCGCGGUAAUACGUAGGUGGCAAGCGUUGUCCGGAUUUAUUGGGCGUAAAGCGAGCGCAGGCGGAAGAAUAAGUCUGAUGUGAAAGCCCUCGGCUUAACCGAGGAACUGCAUCGGAAACUAUUUUUCUUGAGUGC
rnacentral:rRNA from 1 species